rnacentral:rRNA from 1 species
UACGUAGGGUGCAAGCGUUAAUCGGAAUUACUGGGCGUAAAGCGUGCGCAGGCGGUUUGGUAAGACAGAUGUGAAAUCCCCGGGCUUAACCUGGGAAUUGCAUUUGUGACUGCCCGGCUAGAGUUUGGCAGAGGGGGGUAGAAUUCCACGUGUAGCAGUGAAAUGCGUAGAGAUGUGGAGGAACACCGAUGGCGAAGGCAGCCCCCUGGGUCAAGAUUGACGCUCAUGCACGAAAGCGUGGGGAGCAAACAGG